rnacentral:rRNA from 1 species
GAUUAACGCUAGCGGCAGGCCUAAUACAUGCAAGUUGUACGGGAUUAUUGGUAGCAAUACUGAUAUGAGAGUAGCGCACGGGUGCGUAACACGUAUGCAACCUGCCUUUAACUGGGGAAUAGCCUUCCGAAAGGAAGAUUAAUACCGCAUAACAUUGCGAAACGACAUCGUUUUGCAAUUAAACCUACGGGGGGUUAGAGAUGGGCAUGCGUCCGAUUAGCUAGUUGGCGGGGUAAACGCCCA